rnacentral:rRNA from 1 species
GGCGGCGUGCCUAAUACAUGCAAGUCGAACGCUUCUUUUCCCACCGGAGCUUGCUCCACCGGGAAAAGAGGAGUGGCGAACGGGUGAGUAACACGUGGGUAACCUGCCCAUCAGAAGGGGAUAACACUUGGAAACAGGUGCUAAUACCGUAUAACAAUCGAAACCGCAUGGUUUCGUUUUGAAAGGCGCUUUACGGUGCCGCUGAUGGAUGGACCCGCGGUGCAUUAGCUAGUUGGUGAGGUAACGGCUCACCAAGGCCACGAUGCAUAGCCGACCUGAGAGGGUGAUCGGCCACAUUGGGACUGAGACACGGCCCAAACUCCUACGGGAGGCAGCAGUAGGGAAUCUUCGGCAAUGGACGAAAGUCUGACCGAGCAACGCCGCGUGAGUGAAGAAGGUUUUCGGAUCGUAAAACUCUGUUGUUAGAGAAGAACAAGGGUGAGAGUAACUGUUCACCCCUUGACGGUAUCUAACCAGAAAGCCACGGCUAACUACGUGCCAGCAGCCGCGGUAAUACGUAGGUGGCAAGCGUUGUCCGGAUUUAUUGGGCGUAAAGCGAGCGCAGGCGGUUUCUUAAGUCUGAUGUGAAAGCCCCCGGCUCAACCGGGGAGGGUCAUUGGAAACUGGGAGACUUGAGUGCAGAAGAGGAGAGUGGAAUUCCAUGUGUAGCGGUGAAAUGCGUAGAUAUAUGGAGGAACACCAGUGGCGAAGGCGGCUCUCUGGUCUGUAACUGACGCUGAGGCUCGAAAGCGUGGGGAGCAAACAGGAUUAGAUACCCUGGUAGUCCACGCCGUAAACGAUGAGUGCUAAGUGUUGGAGGGUUUCCGCCCUUCAGUGCUGCAGCUAACGCAUUAAGCACUCCGCCUGGGGAGUACGACCGCAAGGUUGAAACUCAAAGGAAUUGACGGGGGCCCGCACAAGCGGUGGAGCAUGUGGUUUAAUUCGAAGCAACGCGAAGAACCUUACCAGGUCUUGACAUCCUUUGACCACUCUAGAGAUAGAGCUUCCCCUUCGGGGGCAAAGUGACAGGUGGUGCAUGGUUGUCGUCAGCUCGUGUCGUGAGAUGUUGGGUUAAGUCCCGCAACGAGCGCAACCCUUAUUGUUAGUUGCCAUCAUUUAGUUGGGCACUCUAGCAAGACUGCCGGUGACAAACCGGAGGAAGGUGGGGAUGACGUCAAAUCAUCAUGCCCCUUAUGACCUGGGCUACACACGUGCUACAAUGGGAAGUACAACGAGUCGCGAAGUCGCGAGGCUAAGCUAAUCUCUUAAAGCUUCUCUCAGUUCGGAUUGUAGGCUGCAACUCGCCUACAUGAAGCCGGAAUCGCUAGUAAUCGCGGAUCAGCACGCCGCGGUGAAUACGUUCCCGGGCCUUGUACACACCGCCCGUCACACCACGAGAGUUUGUAACACCCGAAGUCGGUGAGGUAACCUUUUUGGAGCCAG